GACGAACGCUGGCGGCGUGCUUAACACAUGCAAGUCGUACGGUAAGGCCCUUUCGGGGGUACACGAGUGGCGAACGGGUGAGUAACACGUGAGUAACCUGCCCACAACUUUGGGAUAACGCUAGGAAACUGGUGCUAAUACUGGAUAUGUGCUCCUGCUGCAUGGUGGGGGUUGGAAAGCUCCGGCGGUUGUGGAUGGACUCGCGGCCUAUCAGCUUGUUGGUGGGGUAGUGGCCUACCAAGGCGGCGACGGGUAGCCGGCCUGAGAGGGUGACCGGCCACAUUGGGACUGAGAUACGGCCCAGACUCCUACAGGAGGCAGCAGUGGGGAAUAUUGCACAAUGGGCGCAAGCCUGAUGCAGCAACGCCGCGUGCGGGAUGACGGCCUUCGGGUUGUAAACCGCUUUCAGCAGGGACGAAGCUUUUUGUGACGGUACCCGCAGAAGAAGCACCGGCUAACUACGUG
rnacentral:rRNA from 1 species